CUUCUAACCCUACCACCCAACUGGCCCCAGUACGUUCAUUCUCUCAGGAAAAAAAAACAAGGUCCCCACAGCAAAGAAAAGGGAAUAGGAUCAAGAGAUACGUGGCUGCUGGCAGAGCAAGACCAUCCAUAAUGGGAUCUGAGCAGCCCUGAAAAAACAUAUGUUCCAAGAAUACUUAAUGCCAUGAGGACACAUUCAUGAUGAAAUAUUAAGUUAAUAAAAUUCAGGGGGCCAUGUUGUGCUAUCAAGGUAUAUAUUUGAAAAGAAUAAUGGGAGAAUACACCAAAAUGUAAACAGUUGUUUUCUCCAGGCGGAGGGGAGAUUACAGGUAGUUUUUAUUUCAUUUUUGUAUUUCCCAUAUUACUUUUUAGACCAUGAAAAUAAAACAUUUAUUAAAAUUAAAAGGAGGCUCAUAGGGGAGGCAGGACCCAGCCUCAGAAACAAGACUUCAGCUUGUGGCUCUCCUGACAGGCCAUCCAGAUCAUCAUUGGCCUGGCUCACAUCGGCCUCGGCUCCAUCAUGGCGACGGUUCUCGUAGGGGAAUACCUGUCUAUUUCAUUCUACGGAGGCUUUCCCUUCUGGGGAGGCUUGUGGUUUAUCAUUUCAGGAUCUCUCUCCGUGGCAGCAGAAAAUCAGCCAUAUUCUUAUUGCCUGCUGUCUGGCAGUUUGGGCUUGAACAUCGUCAGUGCAAUCUGCUCUGCAGUUGGAGUCAUACUCUUCAUCACAGAUCUAAGUAUUCCCCACCCAUAUGCCUACCCCAACUAUUAUCCUUACGCCUGGGGUGUGGUGAGUAUCCCUCUCAACCAAAGAUCCUCUAAGUUCUGAAUUAGCUACAUUUACAAAACUCCCAGAAAGGGCUUGACAACCAAGCUACCUCACUGAACAUGGUAGGAAAAGGAGGUGCUUUCAGCAUAGGAACAAAUUUUAAAGUCCUUGACCCAUAGCUUUAAGCACAUGACCUUUCUCAGUUUGGGUUUCUGCCUUUGUAGAACAAUACCUACCUUGUGGCAAUGUUGAGAGAAUUAAAUGCAAUUUUACAAAGAAUGCAUAUGUGCCCACCAACCAGCGCC
rnacentral:sRNA from 1 species